GACGAACGCUGGCGGCGUGCUUAACACAUGCAAGUCGAACGGAAAGGCCCUGCUUUUGUGGUGUGCUCGAGUGGCGAACGGGUGUGUAACACGUGAGUAACCUGCCCUUGACUUUGGUAUAACUUCAGGAAACUGGGGCUUAUACCGGAUAGGAGCUCCCGCUGCAUGGUGGGGGGUGGAAAGUUUCGGCGGUUGGGGAUGGACUCGCGGCUUAUCAGCUUGUUGGUGGGGUAGUGGCUUACCAAGGCUUUGACGGGUAGCCGGCCUGAGAGGGUGACCGGCCACACUGGGACUGAGACACGGCCCAGACUCCUACGGGAGGCAGCAGUGGGGAAUAUUGCACAAUGGGCGGAAGCCUGAUGCAGCAACGCCGCGUGAGGGAUGACGGCCUUCGGGUUGUAAACCGCUUUCGCCUGUGAAGAAGCGAGAGUGACGGUAAUGGGUAAAGAAGCACCGGCUAACUACGUG
rnacentral:rRNA from 1 species